UGUUCCAAUAAGGUCGGAAGCGUGUAAAUUAUUGUACUAAAAAAUCACACAAAGUUCAAUUCCCAGGGAAGAGAGGUGGAUCACAAGGAUCUCUUAAAUACCAAGUCUUUCCUUAGUCAGAAUAUCCCUUUUAUAGUAAUUUAAUAGCACAAUUAAAUACUACUAUUAUACCCUCAAAUAUUGAAAGAAAAAUAGGACAAGAAAGAACACAAGAGUUUUAACGAGGUUCGGUAAAUUAUACCUACGUCCUCGGGCACUAACACCAGAUGAUAACUUUACUAUCUCCAAUAUAUUACAAACAAAUAGAAUUCCUUAAGAAUUCUCAAAUGAGAGAAGAGAGAAAACUAA
rnacentral:lncRNA from 1 species